rnacentral:rRNA from 1 species
AUUGAACGCUGGCGGCAUGCCUUACACAUGCAAGUCGAACGGCAGCACGGGUGCUUGCUCCUGGUGGCGAGUGGCGAACGGGUGAGUAAUACAUCGGAACAUGUCCUGUAGCGGGGGAUAGCCCGGCGAAAGCCGGAUUAAUACCGCAUACGAUCUACGGAUGAAAGCGGGGGACCUUCGGGCCUCGCGCUAUAGGGUUGGCCGAUGGCUGAUUAGCUAGUUGGUGGGGUAAAGGCCUACCAAGGCGACGAUCAGUAGCUGGUCUGAGAGGACGACCAGCCACACUGGAACUGAGACACGGCCCAGACUCCUACGGGAGGCAGCAGUGGGGAAUUUUGGACAAUGGGCGAAAGCCUGAUCCAGCAAUGCCGCGUGUGUGAAGAAGGCCUUCGGGUUGUAAAGCACUUUUGUCCGGAAAGAAAUCCUUGGCCCUAAUACGGUCGGGGGAUGACGGUACCGGAAGAAUAAGCACCGGCUAACUACGUG